AUUGGACGCUGGCGGCAUGCCUUACACAUGCAAGUCGAACGGCAGCGCGGGCUUCGGCCUGGCGGCGAGUGGCGAACGGGUGAGUAAUGCAUCGGAACGUGCCCUGGAGUGGGGGAUAACUAGUCGAAAGAUUAGCUAAUACCGCAUACGAUCUAAGGAUGAAAGUGGGGGACCGCAAGGCCUCAUGCUCCUGGAACGGCCGAUGUCUGAUUAGCUAGUUGGUGGGGUAAAAGCCUACCAAGGCGACGAUCAGUAGCUGGUCUGAGAGGACGACCAGCCACACUGGGACUGAGACACGGCCCAGACUCCUACGGGAGGCAGCAGUGGGGAAUUUUGGACAAUGGGGGAAACCCUGAUCCAGCAAUGCCGCGUGUGUGAAGAAGGCCUUCGGGUUGUAAAGCACUUUUGUCAGGAACGAAACGGCGAGGGCUAAUAUCCCUUGCUAAUGACGGUACCUGAAGAAUAAGCACCGGCUAACUGCGUGCCAGCCGCCGCGGUAAGAC
rnacentral:rRNA from 1 species